GCUCAGGCGUCGACAAGGGCUCGUCCAAAUCCGCCGAGCAGGAGCGCCGGAAGGGGAUCGCCUGGACCGAGGACGAGCACAGAGAAGAAGGAAAAUGAUCACUAGAAGGCUUAAAUAAUUCAGGUUCCUCCUUUCCAGGUUCUCUGAUUCUCUCUCAAGAUCCCAUCUUGCUGCAUAAUCUGUGGAAAGAAGAUCACAACGGUGGCUUGCCCGAGUUUCACCUCUAAGCUUUGAACUUGAAGCUGCAUUGAAGUUGGCUAGAUAUUUGUGCAGGUCCUGCUCCCUGGCAUCUCGGGCUAUCGCUGUUGGCAUGGCGGUCUCAUCACCAUCAGGUUCAGGGUUCGAAGAAAAUGAGCUGAGUAUGUGUUUCCGAUUUUUGAGAAAAAGAUCAAAACAUUUGUGUGCAUAUCAGGAGUUCUAGGAGGACCUGCUUUGGACUUGCGGCCGUGUAGUAGGUCCAUACUUAAAGGAAGUAAGAACAAUUUUAUUUUGCUCUCUGGGACAUUGUGGUUUCAGCUACGAAUUUUCUUUUCAUCUGCUUAUCUAAUUAUCUUCAUUUCUUUACUAACGAAGCGCUUACCUAAAUAAUCUCUUCCACUGUGAUUUGAGUCUGCAUUUUUUCUAGGAUGUCCUUUGCAAUCCUGAAGCUGGCAUGAAAUUAGGAUAUUCACCAACAACCUCCCCUACACUCCUGAACUAUCACUUUACAUUCUCUGAACUAAUGCAGAAGCUGGGCUGAAUCUAAUCUGACUGGUGUGAAAUUAUAUUUCCGUCAAGGCAUUAUGUACCUAAUACAAUGAAGAGGUAUUCAAAAAACUUUCCAAAACACAUGAAGUAAAGUUUCUGACGGUAUCAGAACCUGAUGAGCUGCUAUUAAGAUCAAACCAGCAGAGUAAAGUUUUAAAUUUUUAUGUUUUACAAGAUUUUCUAAAUAUUAAAGUUUUAAAUUUUUAUGUUUUACAAGAUUUUCUAAUUAUUCUUAGUUAUUUCUGCCCCUAAUUUGCUCCAUAAUUCACUAAUUUUACAAGAAUCUAAUCAUUUGGAUUUUCACCAUGGAGCUCAUUUUGUACAUUGCUCGGAACAGAAGUUGCCAAAUGCCAUUAAACUUCCAUCAUUCUUUAUUUGUAGAGCCCCUAAAGGAGGCCUAAUUAGUAUAUGUGAUAUACAUUGAGACCAUAAUAAAAAUGCAGCUCAAAUCAAUACCAGCCUUGAAUAUGAAGCAAUCCAUUAUCUUUAUUCUAUUACCAUGGUAGCUCAUUAAUUUCAGAUUUAGUUGCAUAUUAUUUUAUUUAUGAGCUAUGUAUGUAUUGCUGCAUAAGAUGGAAAGCAAGGUCAAACGUUAGCUGGCAUUCUAUUCGUUACACUCUUUUUGAACUAAAAAAAGUUAGUUGUUUGCCAGUCACCGGAAAAUUUCAGGUGGAUGACAAGAAAACUAUGUAGAGGUAGGCAGCCCAACUAAUUAGUCAUUUGGAUUUACUUAGGUUUCUUAAUUUCAGCAGGUUUGUUCUCUGCCCCAUAUCCUUUAUUUACCGACAUCAAUAUAUAUUAUGGGCAUAGGAAAGUGGUAUGUCGACCAUAAGCUUGUGGUAAAUAGGCUGGCUAUGGAUUAAAAAUGAACUUGAGUAAAAGAAAUAUAAAAUGAAAAAGGUUGUCCAGCUCAAUAUAACCAGUUAUACCAUUACGAGUUCUUCAUUCACAUAACAAGGGUGUGAACGUGUUCUCUGUCUAUGUGAACGUGUUCUCUGUCUAUGUAGAUUAGUUUGUUGGUAGAGUUUGCAGAUCUGUAGCAAACAAUAUAUUUGGAUGGACUAAAGAAAACGAGUUUAUUUUAGUAUCAAUUGCUACAUGCUCUAUAUAUUUGUGGGGGAGCUUAGAAACGCAUAGGAGAAAUACAUUAGUUUUAGAAACACAGCCGCAAACAAACUGUUACAUAUCUAUCUGUAACAUAAGAGAGUGUACCAUUUUCAUUUACAUUUUGUUGUCUAAUUACCAUUGAAGAACUGAAUCCAAGGAUACCGGUUGUUCCUAUAUUUCAUUUUGUAAUGACUAAGUCAUGUGUGUUCUUCAUUUAUAGCUUCGUCAGUUAUAUAUUUUUAUGCACGAUUAAUAUAGUGAUUGCCAAAUCUUUUACCAAAGACGGGAACGCAUGCCAAGUCGGGCUCCUGGUUCACAAAAGUUCUCUAUGUAUAUGUCAAUGUUGAUACCUUUGACCCUUAGCUAAUAUGAUUAGCCGUCCAUUCUUACCAGGUUUAAGCUAUGGAUGUUGGUGAGUUUCCAAAGCUAUUAACAACACCAUACCCACCAAGGGCAAAGGGACAUUCUCUCCGACAACAUGUCAUAAACAUUAUUCCGAUGGACAAGUCCGACUAUACAACCAACAACCUUUGACAUGUCAAACUAAUGACAGUUUACAUAGUGUUUCA